rnacentral:lncRNA from 1 species
UUAAAAGAAAAAUAUUAACAAACUAUAUUUGUACAUGGGUAAUAGUUGUAUACACACUUAGAAGUACUUAUUUGUCCAAGAGAAGCAUCUCCAAAUGCUCUUUCUUCACUUUAUUAUAAAUAGACUAGAGAUCUUCAAUCCUAAUGUGAAACUUCCACAAUUCCUUUGUACCAGUAAUAUCUUUGAGAAGGUUAACUAGUCUUGCCAAUCCACGUUUAGAUGGAAACAAAC